GCUCGAGGUCCCCUCAGAUUCCAUCGCGAUGGCCCCUCCAUCAUUCUUUGCCCAGGUUCCACAGGCCCCGCCGGUUCUGGUCUUUAAGCUCAUUGCGGACUUCCGGGAUGAUCCCGAUCCCCGCAAGGUUAACCUCGGCGUGGGAGCGUACCGCACAGAUGACUCUCAGCCCUGGGUUUUGCCAGUAGUGAGGAAGGUCGAACAGAAGAUUGCUAACGACCACAGUCUCAACCACGAGUACUUGCCCAUCCUGGGCCUGGCGGAGUUCCGGAGCUGUGCUUCUCAGCUAGUACUUGGGGACAACAGCCCAGCUCUCAGGGAGAAUCGGGAUCAGAUCAAAGACAGAUGGAUGGAGUGACGUACAGAAGACAGAGUGAGCAGAUCCAGAGCUGGAAGACCUCAUCCAUGCCCAUCCAUCUAGAACUGGAAGACCUCAUCCAUGCCCAUCCAUCUAGAACUGGAAGACCUCAUCCAUGCCCAUCCAUCUAGAACUGGAAGACCUCAUCCAUGCCCAUCCAUCUAGAACUGGAAGACCUCAUCCAUGCCCAUCCAUCUAGAACUGGAAGACCUCAUCCAUGCCCAUCCAUCUAGA
rnacentral:lncRNA from 1 species